UACAUUUGACCCUGCAGUGUGUUCCAUGAUGCUUAACUAGACAUCCGGACAGUGUGUAUGGAAGAUGGCGACACUUAUUCUCCCCGGUGAAUGGAUCAAAAACUGGGAAAAAUCAGGAAAACACGAAUUUGUGCAACUCUGCAAAGAGCUAACAGAGAAAACUGAUCAUGGGAAUGAAACUAAAGACAUACAGGCCGCUCUUUAUGAGGUCUGCUCGCAGGUUGUCCAGGGUAACCUGAAAAUUGAUCUCGUUUCCGCUGUCCUCGGGGAAAUGAUGGAACUCAGAGAUGAUUUGCCAUCAAUUUUAGCAGAUGUGUUCUGUAUAUUAGAUUUAGAAACUGGUGCACUAGAAGAAAAGAACAAGCGGGACCAUUACACUCAUUUAGUGGGAGCCUGUUUGUCUUUUGUACCGGAGGCCAUCCUGAAAGAACGACUCGACCCAGAGACCUUGGAAUCUCUUGGAUUGAUAAAACAAGCUCAUCAGUUUAAUCAAAAGAUUGUAAAAAUCAAGACUAAGCUAUUUUACAAACAGCAGAAGUUUAACUUGCUAAGGGAAGAGAACGAGGGCUACGCCAAACUGAUCACAGAACUCGGUCAAGACCUUUCCGGCAACAUCACCAGCCACCUCGUCCUGGAGAGCAUAAAGUCCCUCAUAGGCUGCUUCAAUUUGGAUCCUAAUCGGGUUCUGGACAUCAUCUUGGAGGUGUAUGAGAGCCGGUCUGAACAAGAUGAGUUCUUUCUGUCCCUCAUCAAAUCCUACAUGUGUGAGCCAAUCACCCUCUGCCAUAUACUGGGCUUUAAGUUCAAGUUCUACCAGGAACCUAAUGAGGAAACUCCAAAAUCACUUUACCACAUUGCUGCUGCUCUCCUGAACCACAAGCUGAUAGAGCUGGAGGAUCUCUACGUUCAUCUUAUGCCAGUAGAUGCCACCAUUGUAGAAGAACACAAACGGGAGAUUUCAGAGGCCAAGCAGAUCGCUCGCAAGCUGGUGACAGUCGUGCUUCCCUCGGAGAAAAGUGAAGACAAGGAGAAGGAGAAAGAAAAGGAAGAAGAAAAGAACGAGAAGCCACCCGACAACCAGAAGCUCGGUCUUUUGGAGGCUCUACUCAGGAUCGGAGACUGGCACCACGCCCAGAGUAUCAUGGACCAGAUGCCGUCUUUUUACGCUACUUCUCACAAGGCCAUUGCGCUGGCGCUUUGCCAACUUGUGCACCUGACCGUGGAGCCUCUUUACAGAAGAGCUGGCGUUCCAAAAGGAGCAAAGGGCUGUGCGCUGCAACCGCUGAAGAACAAGCGGGCUCCUCAGCCCACCGAGAGCUUCGAGGAUCUACGGAAAGAUACGUUCAGCAUGCUCUGCUACCUGGGCCCUCACCUCUCCCAUGACCCCAUCCUCUUUGCUAAGAUAGUACGAUUGGGCAAGUCCUUCAUGAAAGAGUAUCAAUCUGACGGUAGACCUGAAGUGAAAGAUAAGAUGGAGAUAUUGUUGAGCUGCUUCCUGAGCAUCGCAGAUCAGGUGUUGCUGCCCUCUCUCUCUCUAAUGGAGUGCAACGCCUGCAUGUCUGAGGAACUAUGGGGCCUGUUUAAGCUCUUUCCCUACCAGCACAGGUACCGACUUUAUGGGCAGUGGAAGAAUGAGACCUACUCCGGCCAUCCAUUGUUGGUUAAAGUAAAAGCCCAGACCGUGGAAAGGGCCAAAUACAUUAUGAAGCGCUUGACCAAAGAGAACAUAAAACAGUCUGGACGACAGAUUGGCAAACUGAGCCAUAGCAACCCCACCAUCCUCUUCGAUUACAUGUUGUCUCAGAUCCAGUGGUACGACAACCUCAUUGUUCCGGUGGUGGACUCAUUGAAAUACCUCACAUCUCUCAACUAUGACGUCCUGGCCUAUUGCAUCAUCGAAGCUCUGGCCAAUCCCGAGAAGGAGAAGAUGAAGCAUGACGACACUACACUCUCCUUGUGGCUCCAGAGUUUGGCAAGUCUGUGUGGAGCCGUGUUCAGAAAAUACCCGAUUGAAUUGGCCGGCCUUCUGCAGUAUGUUACCAACCAGCUGAAGGCGGGAAAAAGUUUUGACUUGCUGAUUCUGAAGGAGGUGGUGCAGAAAAUGGCUGGCAUUGAGAUCACAGACGAAAUGACUUCAGAGCAGUUGGAGGCCAUGACAGGAGGAGAGCAGCUGAAAGCUGAGGGCGGCUACUUCGGCCAGAUCAGGAACACAAAGAAAUCUUCUCAGCGCCUGAAGGAUGCUCUGCUUGACCACGAACUAGCGCUGCCGCUGUGUUUACUCAUGGCCCAACAACGAAAUGGAGUCGUUUUCCUGGAGGGAGGAGAGAAGCAUCUAAAACUCGUGGGGCACCUUUAUGACCAGUGUCACGACACACUGGUGCAGUUUGGUGGUUUUCUAGCCUCCAAUCUCAGCACAGAGGAUUAUAUAAAGCGAGUUCCCUCCAUCGACGUCCUUUGUAACCAGUUUCACACCCCGCAUGAUGCCGCUUUCUUCUUGUCGCGCCCCAUGUACGCACAUCAGAUCUUGUCAAAAUACGAGGAGCUAAAGAAGGCUGAAAAAGGCAACCGACAGCAGCAGAAGGUCACCAAGUACGUGGCGGCGUGCGAACAGGUGAUGAUGCCGGUGCACGAGGCUGUGAUGUCGCUCCAUCCGGCCAGAGUCUGGGACGAUCUGCGGCCUCAGUUCUACGCCACCUUCUGGUCGCUCACCAUGUAUGACUUGGCCGUGCCGCAUGCUGCGUAUGAGCGGGAGGUAAACAAGCUAAGGGUCCAGAUCAAGGCCAUCGAGGAGAACUCUGAGAUACCUUUAAAUAAGAAGAAGAAGGAGAAGGAACGUUGCACAGCCCUGCAAGAAAAGUUACAGGAGGAAGAAAAGAAACAAAUGGAGCAUGUCCAAAGAGUUCUGCACCGUCUCAAGCUGGAAAAAGACAGCUGGUUGUUAACCAAAUCCACAAAGAACGAGACCAUAACGAAGUUCCUGCAGCUGUGCCUGUUCCCUCGCUGCAUCUUCUCCUCCAUCGACGCCGUGUACUGCGCCCGCUUCGUCGAGCUCGUCCACCAGCAGAAAACCCCGAACUUCUGCACUCUCCUCUGCUACGACAGGGUCUUCUCUGCCAUCAUUUACACGGUGGCCAGCUGCACAGAGAAUGAGUCUCACCGCUACGGCCGCUUCCUCUGCUGCAUGUUGGAAACGGUGACCCGGUGGCAUAGCAACCGCGCCGUCUACGAGAAGGAGUGUGUGAAUUAUCCAGGCUUCCUGACAAUCUUCCGAGCCGCAGGGUUCGAUGGAGGAAACAAAGCGGAUCAGCUGGAUUAUGAGAACUUUCGGCAUGUGGUCCACAAAUGGCACUAUAUGCUGACUAAAGCUUCAGUCCACUGCCUGGAAACAGGAGAUUACACCCACAUCCGGAACAUUCUGAUCGUUCUUACCAAGAUCUUACCCUGCUACCCAAAGGUCCUGAACCUGGGCCAAGCGCUGGAGUGCCGGGUCCACAAGAUCUGCCUUGAAGAGAAGGAUAAGAGGCCAGACCUCUAUGCCUUAGCAAUGGGUUAUUCAGGUCGGUUGAAAAGCCAGAAGGUGCACAUGGUCCCUGAGAAUGAGUUCCACCACAAGGACCAGCCAGCUCGCAGCGCCACGCCGGCGAGUCAGCAGAACGGCCCUGGAAGCACCGGCAAGCCCGCUGCCAACACCAGCAAGACCGAGGAGGGGGGAUUUGAAGACGGGGACCGGGUCAAGGAUAAGUCUCAGGGGACCUCAAAGCCAGUCAACAAAGCCAACAGCACAGCAGCCAAAGUGACCACCAGCAAUGGAAACGGUGCUCUCAACAGCACCAAAGCUGUAAAAGAUGACAAAGAGAAGAGCGGGAAAGAAAAAAAAGAAAAGAAAGAAAAGACACCAGGAAGCACUCCGGAGACGAAGGCGGAGAGCCGCAGGGAGAAGCAGAGAGACGAAAGAGCGGGAAAGGAGGAGCGGUUGCUGCGCGAGGGUAAGGAGAAGACCCCGAAAGCAGACCGGGAGAAAGUCAAGCUGGACGAAAAGAGCGGCAAAGACGACAAGGCCAAAGCCGGAAACGGGGAGCCAGUGGAACCAGGCAGAGACGCCGUCAAGGAAUCCAAGAACAAGGAGAAAGGAGACAGGAAUGCUGCGACUGCAACCCUCAAGUCACCAAAUCCGAGAUCCGAUUCAGCCGAAUCUGAGAGGGAUCACAAAAGACGAAAGCUCGACAGUCACUCGUCCCCAUCCCACUCCUCAUCUGUUAAGGUUAGUAUGGCCUGAGGAAGGCUGUGCCCGUUUCUUCUCUGUCUGCUGGAGCAUUCCCUGCCUUGCACAUUCCAGCAGCUCCGAAGAUCAUCCCGGGAGCGUUGUCGCAUCGCAGGCACGGCAUCUGGAAGUCUCCCGACUCUCCAACAUGGGAGUUGGAAACCAUUCCAUGGACUUGAGCUGAAAAUUUUCCACUAUUGGGAGAAAUCCUGAAGGACUUAGUCAAGAGAAUAUUAUGUAUAUUAUAUAUUUUCAUAUUGAAAAAAAAUGCCUAUUUUCAUAGAAGUGAAAGCAGUCGGUGUGCCUUCGGAAGAAUCUUUUGACCACGUUUCUAUAUUCCCGUGGAGUUUUUUUUUUGUGUGCUUUUUUAAAAAAAAAAAAUAGUAUUCCCGCCCCGUCAAGAAGUCUCCAAAGGCAAAGUGUUUUUUCCUCCGACCAGGAGCCGUAUACAACCAGUCGAAAUAGUCUCCAAGAGCUUUUUCCCUCCAUUUUUUCUGAGCUCUUUCUUCUUUAACGCGAUGUAAAGUACCUCGGUGUCGCCCCGGAGCCCGCUCAAAGACGGAUGGUGUCCAGCAAACCUCUCUGGCGGCGCCUCCAGAGAGUCUCCACGUCCGAGCCGCCGGCCCCUCUUCCUUCUUCGCUUCUCGAGACGGCCCAUGCCACCACCACCACCAGCUUCGCAUCGCACCGAGCACGCCCAGUCGGUCCCGCCGCCAGCGCCGCUACACUCGACUCUACAGCUUCCGGCCGUCUUCGCAUCCGUCGCUCCUGGCAAGCCAUACACGGAAGAGAGAGCCGCCAGCGCCCCGAGGAAGACGAGAGAAUGAAUGUUGCGAAUCCACCAGAAAUGCUGUGGAAAAUAAAGCCUGCCCCCUACAAAGAGAGUGUGAGGGAGAGAGUGGGUGAGACCCGAGUCGUCUGGAGCCUCGGCCCAGCCACUGGCAGCUUGUGAUAGGCAUUUAUUUAAUCCUUCCACGAGAGAAAUAGGCUCCAUGUGUCUUAUCCAUUCCUGAACUGUAAGUGACAGCAGCAGUUAUCUCUAUAGGGAUGCACUCCAAACACACACACAGGCACACACCUGCACUUACACACACACACACAGUCACAGAUAUGACCACUAUUAACAGCACUCGCACUUUAGAAGUAUUGUUGUACCAGCUAUGCUGAUAUAGCAGACAUGCUUUAGUGUUAAGACUUACUCCAUAUUUUACACAUGCUCAGGGUUUUUCUAUUAGAUCUUAUCUAUUUUCUAAGUGUUGACAUUCCAGAUGUUGAGUCUAUGAACUCUCCUCUAUGUAAUAACUUUGUCAAAGCCUCAGUUUCUGAAGGUCAGAGAUCAAGGGAGGAGUUUGCUGUUGGAUCGGCCUCUCUCCCCCCUCCUCUUCCUCUUCUACCGACUUUCUACUGCUGUCUGACAACCUCCUCCUACCUCCCACCCCCUCCCAGCUCAUCUGUCAUCUCCAUUCAUCCCUACAGGACAGUAGCAACGAACUCAAGGAUCCUGCAACCAAGGAUCACGCCGUCAACGACCGCGAGGCCAGCCAAGAAUCCAAGCGGAGGAAGGACGAGAACGG